UACGAAGGGGGCUAGCGUUGCUCGGAAUCACUGGGCGUAAAGCGCACGUAGGCGGCUUUCUAAGUCAGGGGUGAAAUCCUGGAGCUCAACUCCAGAACUGCCUUUGAUACUGGAGAGCUUGAGUCCGGAAGAGGUGAGUGGAACUCCGAGUGUAGAGGUGAAAUUCGUAGAUAUUCGCAAGAACACCAGUGGCGAAGGCGGCUCACUGGCCCGAUACUGACGCUGAGGCACGAAGGCGUGGGGAGCAAACAGG
rnacentral:rRNA from 1 species